UACGUAGGGUGCGAGCGUUGUCCGGAAUUAUUGGGCGUAAAGGGCUCGUAGGCGGUUUGUCGCGUCGGGAGUGAAAACCCAGGGCUUAACCCUGAGCCUGCUUCCGAUACGGGCAGACUUGAGUGUUGCAGGGGAGACUGGAAUUCCUGGUGUAGCGGUGAAAUGCGUAGAGAUCGGAAAGAACACCAACGGCGAAAGCACUCUGCUGGGCCGACACUGACACUGGAGAGACGAAAGCUAGGGGAGCGAAUGGG
rnacentral:rRNA from 1 species